rnacentral:lncRNA from 1 species
GGCAAUUCACCAAACACUUGGUGGGUAGUGAAGGUUUAGGGGAGAGUGGUGUUUAUGGGAGUUAGGGUUGGUGCACAAGAAUGAGGGAGUGCGUUAGGAAAAAUUUGGGUUUGGGGAAAAAAAAGGAAUUGGUGAAUGGAAAGGGGAACGUGUUGAAUUUGGGGGAGGAGUUAGUGAACUUUGAAUGGUGAGAGUUGAUUGGAAAGAAGAGGAGAAUGAGUGGUUGCAGAGGAGUGGGGUUGUUUUGAGAGGGAGAUGGUGUUUGAGUGAGAGGGAGAGAUGGGUUUGAGAGAAUGAGGGAGUUUGAGUGAGAGGGAGAGAGUGGGGUUGAGAGA